rnacentral:rRNA from 2 species
UACGUAGGUGGCGAGCGUUAUCCGGAAUUAUUGGGCGUAAAGGGUGCGUAGGCGGUUCAUUAAGUCUGUGGUGAAAGUGCGGGGCUCAACCCCGUAUGGCCAUAGAAACUGGUGAACUAGAGUGCAGGAGAGGGCAGUGGAAUUCCAUGUGUAGCGGUAAAAUGCGUAGAUAUAUGGAGGAACACCGGUGGCGAAGGCGGCUGCCUGGCCUGUAACUGACGCUGAGGCACGAAAGCGUGGGGAGCAAAUA